rnacentral:rRNA from 1 species
UUCCGUAGGUGAACCUGCGGAGGGAUCAUUACACAAAUAUGAAGGCGGGCUGGAACCUCUCGGGGUUACAGCCUUGCUGAAUUAUUCACCCUUGUCUUUUGCGUACUUCUUGUUUCCUUGGUGGGUUCGCCCACCACUAGGACAAACAUAAACCUUUUGUAAUUGCAAUCAGCGUCAGUAACAAAUUAAUAAUUACAACUUUCAACAACGGAUCUCUUGGUUCUGGCAUCGAUGAAGAACGCAGCGAAAUGCGAUAAGUAGUGUGAAUUGCAGAAUUCAGUGAAUCAUCGAAUCUUUGAACGCACAUUGCGCCCUUUGGUAUUCCAAAGGGCAUGCCUGUUCGAGCGUCAUUUGUACCCUCAAGCUUUGCUUGGUGUUGGGCGUCUUGUCUCUAGCUUUGCUGGAGACUCGCCUUAAAGUAAUUGGCAGCCGGCCUACUGGUUUCGGAGCGCAGCACAAGUCGCACUCUCUAUCAGCAAAGGUCUAGCAUCCAUUAAGCCUUUUUUUCAACUUUUGACCUCGGAUCAGGUAGGGAUACCGCAUAUCAAUAAGCGGAGGAAAGAGGA